rnacentral:rRNA from 2 species
GAGAUUCAACAUGGAACGAGUGGCGGACGGGUGAGUAACACGUGGGUAACCUGCCCUUAAGUGGGGGAUAACAUUUGGAAACAGAUGCUAAUACCGCAUAGAUCCAAGAACCGCAUGGUUCUUGGCUGAAAGAUGGCGUAAGCUAUCGCUUUUGGAUGGACCCGCGGCGUAUUAGCUAGUUGGUGAGGUAAUGGCUCACCAAGGCGAUGAUACGUAGCCGAACUGAGAGGUUGAUCGGCCACAUUGGGACUGAGACACGGCCCAAACUCCUACGGGAGGCAGCAGUAGGGAAUCUUCCACAAUGGACGCAAGUCUGAUGGAGCAACGCCGCGUGAGUGAAGAAGGCUUUCGGGUCGUAAAACUCUGUUGUUGGAGAAGAAUGGUCGGCAGAGUAACUGUUGUCGGCGUGACGGUAUCCAACCAGAAAGCCACGGCUAACUACGUGCCAGCAGCCGCGGUAAUACGUAGGUGGCAAGCGUUAUCCGGAUUUAUUGGGCGUAAAGCGAGCGCAGGCGGUUUUUUAAGUCUGAUGUGAAAGCCC